AGUGAACGUUGGCGGUAGGCCUAACACAUGCAAGUCGAACGGCAGCACAGUAAGAGCUUGCUCUUACGGGUGGCGAGUGGCGGACGGGUGAGGAAUACAUCGGAAUCUACUUUUUCGUGGGGGAUAACGUAGGGAAACUUACGCUAAUACCGCAUACGACCUACGGGUGAAAGCAGGGGAUCUUCGGACCUUGCGCGAUUGAAUGAGCCGAUGUCGGAUUAGCUGGUUGGCGGGGUAAAGGCCCACCAAGGCGACGAUCCGUAGCUGGUCUGAGAGGAUGAUCAGCCACACUGGAACUGAGACACGGUCCAGACUCCUACGGGAGGCAGCAGUGGGGAAUAUUGGACAAUGGGCGCAAGCCUGAUCCAGCCAUACCGCGUGGGUGAAGAAGGCCUUCGGGUUGUAAAGCCCUUUUGUUGGGAAAGAAAAGCAGCAGGUUAAUACCCCGCUGUUCUGACGGUACCCAAAGAAUAAGCACCGGCUAACUUCGUG
rnacentral:rRNA from 1 species